rnacentral:lncRNA from 1 species
AGCUCUACCCUGAAGUGGACAGCUGCAGCAUUACAACCCCUUUCCAGAACAAUCCUGAAAGAUACAGGUGAAGGAAAAUCAUCACAGUGGGCAGAACUUUGGAAGGUACACAUGGUAUUACAGUUUGUUUGAAAUAAGAAAUGGAUAGAUGUGCAAUUGUUCACUGAUUCAUAGGCUGUAGCCAAUGGAUUGGCUGUAUGGUCAGGGGUUUUAAAAGAUCACCAAAGAAAAUUGGUGAGAAAUACAUUUGGGGAAUAAGUAUGUGGAUAGAUCUCACCAAAUGGGCAAAGGAUGUGAAGAUAUUUGUGUUCCAUGUAAAUACAUAUUGCCUUUCAAAGAAAACCACAUAGAACCAGCCCAAAGCA